AUCAAGGACCAUGGAGACCAGGAACGGAAAAACAGUAGUAGACAUGUUUGAUCGUUUUUGAAGGUUUCUUGUUUCUUUAAAAAAAUAAAUAAGUUAUUAUCAUUAGAAAUUAUGUGACAAGUGCAUGCAUUUCAGUUAAAGUUAAUAGAAAGAAUAAUGCAUAUGUAUGUGUUUCAACAAGGUUCUAUCGAGCUAUCGGCUACGACCAGUUAUCAUCUAAAUCACGAAUUUGGGUAUUUAUAAUAGAACAUGUUUAUUCGAGAAACGUUAACUCAAUUGCCUGCUACGAGUAAAAGAACGUUUCAUCACAGCAUAACAUAUAAGGGUACUUGAAUGCGAUAAAAAUAUUCCUCUUAAAAUCUAUCAAGGUGUCUGACCAUGGACGCCCGUACUUGGGGCCAGGAUGUGUUACGGUGUCAUCUCUGUGAGACCCCGGGCCCCCCUAUGUACUGUGCCAUUUGUCACAUACAUCUGUGUAAAGCAUGUGUUGGGGAACAUCUUUCUGAUGAAUCUACAGAACACAAAGUGGUGUCAUUUAAAAAACGAGGACUUAAUCCUAAAUGUUCAAAACAUUCCACACAAUUAUGUGACCUCCAUUGUGAACAAUGUAACAUUCCUAUUUGUGUUGAGUGUGUCUCCUCCGGUGAACAUUUAGGACAUGUACAACUUGGUAUUUUGAAAAUUCUAGAAAAGAAGAAAGAAGCUUUACAGAGAGAUUUACAAGAAUUGGAGAAAAACAUUUAUCCUAAAUACCAAGAAAUGGCAUCAAACAUCCCAGUUCAGAAAGCUGAUCUGAAUAAAAACUCCAACAAACUAACAAAAGCUAUAGAAAGACAUGGAAAAGAGCUGCACAGAGAAAUAGACACUGUUAUCACAAAAUUAAAAUCGGACGUAGAUGAAAUGGAAUUUAAACACAUUACUGUCCUAAAUGAGCAGGAAGAUAAAAUUAAACGUAGUAUAUUGGAAAUUGAAGAGAGCAUUGCUGAUCUCAAUAGAUUAAUGAACUCAAAUGAUGUCAUCCUUGUCUCUGCCUACAAAUCCAGGAAUGCUGAAUUCAAAAAAUUGCCACCGAAAGUCAUUGUUUCCUUACCAAGAUUCACCCCUCAGAAGAUUAACAAAGAACAAAUUUAUCAGCAGAUUGGUUCUCUGUCAGCGUUUCCCAUCAAAACAGAAGACCAUGGGUACACAGUGGAUUCUUCCGGCGCUGAGUCCACUCCCCUGGACAGACUGCUCAUUGAUGUUCCUCGAAUCAUCACAGAAAUACACACCGAUUAUGGAGAAUCGAAUAAUUUACGCAGUUUUUCCUGCCUGAGCGACGAUGAAGUAUGGACGAGUGGUGAUGACAACAUGAUGAGACUCUACAACCUCCACGGUAAAGUGGUGAAGUCCAUCCAAACCAAGUCAGGGAACAUGCCAGGGGACAUAGCUGUGACACAGAGUGGUGAACUAGUUUAUACUGAUCCCCAUGAUAGAACUGUGAACAUAGUGAAGAAUGCACAGAUACAGACAGUAAUCAAAUUGCAGGGAUGGAAACCUGGCUAUAUUUGAAUUGCAUCUGAUGGUGAUUUCCUAGUCGUCAUGGAACAUAGAAUUACGAAACGUACAAAAGUUGUUCGUUAUUCUGACUCCAGAGAGAAACAGACAAUCCAAUAUAAUGACAAGGGAAAACCCUUGUAUUCAUCGCAAAGUCAUACCAAAUACAUCUGCGAGAACAAAAACCAAGAUAUCUGUGUAGCUGACAGUUACACUGAUAGCCCUGCAGUAGUGGUGGUCAAUCAGGCAGGGAAACUCCGGUAUACAUAUACGGGUCCUCCCCUAACCACCAAGGAGCCAUUUGAACCAGUCGGCAUCACGACAGACAGCCAGAGUCGGAUCCUUACAUCAGACUAUAACAACCACCGUAUCCACAUCCUUGAUCAGAACGGAAAGUUCCUCCGCUACAUUGACAACUGUAAUUUCCAGAAUCCUCGAGGUUUAUGGGUGGACACCACAGACAAUCUCUUUGUAGCUGAGGAAAACGCCGGUAUAAUAAAGAAAAUUCAGUAUUACAUUUAAACAAACUGUAUUAGGUUUUUUUUUAUUUUAUUGCAUUUUAUAAAUGCAAGUUGUUUUUUGAAUUAAAUGUAAAUAAAACUAUUUUGUCACUCUAAUUUUUACAUGUAAAAUGAAAACAUUUCAAAAGGGCCAAUGUUUAUUUCCGCACAUUUUCCAGAAAAAAAUACCAUUUAUAUCUGAUUUUCAAUUUGAUCCAAUAUACCUCGAUUUAGAAUUUCGACAUCAUAAAAUUAACUCUUCUGCCACCUUUAUCGAACAAUACAAUCGAAGAGCAUAAGCAAGCUAAGCCUAGUAAUACUUGUCAAUGAGUAUUUGCCUUGCAUCGUUUAUAGAUAAUUGCAAAUUAGUAUAAAUUAUGUUUUCAUAAUGUGUGUGAUAUGCUGUUUUAUGUCAUUGCACUCUUGCUUGAACAUUGAACAUUGGAAUUAUUUAAACUUUUUACUUACUGAUUGAAUAUUGAUUUAUGAUGUUAUAUGACGCUAGUGUAUUCAUGCUUUCUUAUCCAAUGCUCUAAAUAAAAAAUUUGAUUACUAUAACUGAAUAUUCAUCGAUGUGGUAAUUGUGACUACCCACCACCCUUUGUGUUUGUGACAUUUGCCCACAAGCGCUUUUCUACUUUGCAAACGAUUGAUAUAAAAUUAUGCUUACCCAUUGGC
rnacentral:sRNA from 1 species